rnacentral:rRNA from 1 species
UACAGAGGGUGCAAGCGUUAAUCGGAGUUACUGGGCGUAAAGGGCACGUAGGCGGUUGAAUAAGUUAGUUGUGAAACCCCUGGGCUUAACCUGGGACCUGCAAUUAAAACUGUUGAACUAGAGUCGAAGAGAGGGAAGCGGAAUUUCCGGUGUAGCGGUGAAAUGCGUAGAUAUCGGAAGGAACAUCAGUGGCGAAGGCGGCUUCCUGGCUUCAGACUGACGCUGAGGUGCGAAAGCGUGGGUAGCGAACAGG